AUGUAUAUCUCUGAAUGUAUUUUUGAAUCUGACUUCUACCAAGGUUCAGCUCUUUCAGUGUGUUAUUCAGGUUCAGUGUCCCAGGAGCUGCUGCAGAAAUCCUGCCUUGUAUGGGGAGCAUGGCUGGCUGAUCUGCUGAAGUGCUGCUGUGAUGGCAUGCUUCUGGUGAAGAUGAAGCCUUCAGACUAACAGCAAAUGUUACUUGUGUGAGCAUAUGGGCUGACACGGUGGUGAUGAACCUGGAGCCUGGCACAUCCCAGCUUUGUGAUCUCAGAUCUCCUCCAGCUGCAGAUGAUGGUCACUAGAUUGCUUUGGAUGCCACUGGUUCAAAAUGCAAACUCACAAUGUGUUUUACCAGCAGCUGGAAAAUUAAGAUUGGACUUUAUAAGGAUAAGUGAGGAACUGUGUAAAUGGAUGCAAGCUAAUUCUGAACUUUUGUAUGUUUAUUGAGUUUUCAUAAAUUGAUGUUGUGCUACUUUUUGAGUACCUCUGGUGCUUGGACAGAGCCAAAGGAUACUAACAGGUGUGUGUCCUUUACUGGGCUGUGCACAGUUAAGAAGAAAGAUUUCUUUGGUUUGGGGACAGGAAGAAUCCAGCUUGCCUUCCCAGCCACCUUUUGGUAACUAAAGUGCAAUCUGAAAUGGUGCUGGCUCCUGUCCUGCUGUCCAGGUGUUACUGGCACCCCAGGUUACUUUAAGCUGCAAAAAGGUGGCAGGGCUGUACAAGCUCCUGCCUCCAGGCUGGGAACCACUGUGCUGAUCAUUUCUCUUCACCUGUGCCUUUGCUCUUGCAUUUCCUGGAUGAUGAUAUCUCCAAUAACACAAAUAAGUUAUUUCUGGAGAUCAAACACGAUAGGGUUGGCCAAAACCCAUACCACUUCCUCUGACAUUUCACGAGUGUCGGUUCGGUGGCUGUGGUCAAAGAGAUGAAAGACCUGUUUUUAUAAAGUAGAAGAAAGAAAAGAGUGGUAUCCCUGCUGAUGAGAAUGGAGCACAUUUCUCUCUGUGACCCCUUCAUGCCAUAUUGUUUCUUUUUUUUUUUUCUGUCUUCUAUAAGUAAAGCAUGAGUUUUUGAAAAAUGGUAAUUAAAGAAAAACAACAACAACAGCAAAAACUUUAGAAAAAGGCAGAGGGCUCCAGGGAUCAGAGAAAAUAGGAAAACAGCCUGAAAAUCAAAGGCUAUGUUUUAU
rnacentral:lncRNA from 1 species